GAUGAAGAACGUAGCGAAAUGCGAUAAGUAAUGUGAAUUGCAGAAUUCAGUGAAUCAUCGAAUCUUUGAACGCACAUUGCGCCCGCCAGUAUUCUGGCGGGCAUGCCUGUUCGAGCGUCAUUUCACCACUCAAGCCUGGCUUGGUGUUGGGCGACGUCCCCUUUGGGGACGCGCCUCGAAACGCUCGGCGGCGUGGCACCGGCUUUAAGCGUAGCAGAAUCUUUCGCUUUGGAAGUCGGGGCCCCGUCUGCCGGAAGACCUACUCGCAAGGUUGACCUCGGAUCAGGCAGGGAUACCCGCUGAACUUAAGCAUAUCAAUAAGCGGAGGA
rnacentral:misc_RNA from 1 species